GAUUAAUGAAACUUGGUGUUUAGCUUAGGACAAAAGGACUUCUCAUUUACUUAUUUUGGUUGAUUGUGUGACUAGGAAAGGCUACUUCGCAGGGCUGUUUUGGAGGGGAGUAAAAUGGCAGCUUUGACUUGCUAUUUUUGGAGGAAGAAACAACUUGGCUGCCACUUAGCUGUCUCGGAAAGUGGGCUCGCUGCCCUGGGCUCGGCGGCUGUUCAGAUACGGGCCGCGACUUUCGGCCCGAGAGAAGAGGCCCGAUGACAUUUGUUCCAUGCACAUUUUUUUGUUAGCUGUUCAUUUUAUUGUCUAUGUAACGCUAUUAAAAAAUUCUUUAUAUUCUACAACGUAUUUCCAUUUGUUUA